rnacentral:misc_RNA from 1 species
CUUGUGUGACAUUUGUAGUAUUAUGAUCUCAAUUGCUAGAUUGGCGCAACUCAGGUCUCACAAAGUCAGCAUCUGGUGGCACUGAAAUGUCUACUGUAGGUCUCAGUUGAGCACAAACUUCAAUGGCUCCAUGCACCGGAUCUGAUAGGAAGUUGCCAAUGAGAUCUCGAUUGACGGGAGUUUCAUUGUCCACAGCUACCAAAGCUUGUUGGUUAAGGAUAUAAUCAAAACGAGGAGCCCAUUUCCUGGAUCCCAAUCUUGCUGUUGUUGAGCAAUUGUCAACCAUGAAAGAAACUCCACGUGCGUGCAUAAAUGGAUUCAAAGAAUCCACAGACUCUAUCACACUUUCAUUGAUGAUCUCAGAGUAUGAGUGCCCUUUCUUCCUUAAGAUUUCAAUCUGCGCCAUCAUCAAUGCCACAUAGACGCCUGCAGUAAAAGGAUAUAAUGGACCUAGGUCCCCUGCUUGUCUAACUGAUCGGACUCGCUCACCAACCUUCCACAUGCGUGUUUGAUCAAUUUUACCCAUUGGAAAAGCUGGAAGACCAUCCUUUUCAUAAAAGCGACGGCCAGCCAAGACAACACUGCGAAUCUCAUUGCCGCAAGCUACAUCUUCAUAGCACUCGUACAAGAUAUCCAUGCAGGGAUAAUAUGAAGCACUGUAUGCAAUCUCAAAUUCUUUUUUCCCUUCUUUAGACAAGGAAUUGUAUACGGCCAACAUACCCUGGGUUGAGAUGAUCUUUGAUAUAAUUCCAGUUAUGCACUCAACAGUAUUCUUGUAAGCUUCCUCUUCACUCAUUCCAUUUUCAGUGUAUCGUCUAAACAAGGACUCCACAAUUCCAUGUACAGCUCCCAGUAAAAUGCCACGCUCCCCAAAGAUGUCACUCUUGUACUCCUGUUCUAGAGUAGUGGCAAAAGAGAAAGGAGAACCAAGGGCAAUUGACCAUCCCAAGGCAACAUCUGUGGCUCUACCAUCAACAUCCUGGUGGACUGCAAAACUAGAAUUAAUUCCAGCACCAUUGAUUUCUUU